rnacentral:rRNA from 1 species
UCAAGCGAACAAGGGCGCAGGGCGAAUGCCUUGGCACUGGGAGCCGAUGAAAGACGUGAUAAGCUGCGAUAAGCUUCGGGGAGCUGCAAAUAAGCAUUGAUCCGGAGAUUUCUGAAUGAGGAAACUCACCUGGGUUCAUACUCAGGUACGUUGUACUGAAAUUCAAAAUAGGUACAUCGAGGGAACCGCCUGAACUGAAACAUCUAAGUAGGGCGAGGAAGAGACAUCAAACGAGAUUCCGUAAGUAGUGGCGAGCGAACGCGGAAGAGGGCAAACCGGGAGUAGAAAUACUUCCGGGGUACGGAGCGCAUUUAAGACUUAAGUUGUUAACCGAACGGCAUGGGAAGGCCGGUCAGAGAGUGUGAGAACCACGUAGGUGAAAACGACGAGAGCUGAGCGAUUUCCAGAGUACGGCCAGACACGUGAAACCUGGUCGGAAGAUGGGGGGACCACCCUCCAACCCUAAAUACUACCCAGUGACCGAUAGCGUAUAGUACUGUGAAGGAAAGGUGAAAAGCACCCCGGGAGGGGAGUGAAAAAGAACCUGAAACCCUGUGCCUACAAGCACCUAGAGCACGUCAAUGUGUGAUAGGGUACUUUUUGUAGAACGGUCCGGCGAGCGAUUGUAUGCAGCAAGGUUAAGGACUUAAGGUCUGGAGCCGAAGCGAAAGCGAGUUUGAAAAGGGCGUUAAGUUGCAUAUAAUGGGCCCGAAACCGGGUGACCUACCCAUGGUCAGGUUGAAGUGGAAGUAAAAUUCCAUGGAGGACCGAACCGACCUCCGUUGAAAAGGCGGCGGAUGAACUGUGGGUAGCGGAGAAAUUCCAAUCGAACCCGGAGAUAGCUGGUUCUCCCCGAAAUAGUUUUAGGACUAGCCUCAAGUUAGAUACCUGGAGGUAAAGCACUGAAUAGCCUAGCGGCCGAGAGGUUAGCGAAGCUUAUCAAACUCAGAAUGCCAGAGUAUUGAUGCUUGGGAGUCAGACAGUGUCAGAUAAAUGUCAUUGUCAAAAGGGAAACAGCCCAGAUCUACAGCUAAGGUCCCAAAGUCAGGUUAAGUGGAAAACGAUGUGAAGAUACGCAGACAACCAGGAUGUUGGCUCAGAAGCAGCCACUCAUUCAAAGAGUGCGUAAUAGCUCACUGGUCGAGCGUCUUUGCGCGGAGAAUUUAACGGGGCUAAACCUGACACCGAAGCUUAGGCAAUCCAGCAAUGGAUUGGGUAGGGGAGCGUUGUAUACGCGGAGAAACAGUAGCGUAAGCGGCUGUGGAGUGUAUAGAAGUGAGAAUGCCGGAAUGAGUAGCGCGAAUGCAGUGAGAAUCUGCAUGGCCGAAAGCCUCAGGUUUUUGGAGGAAGGUUCGUCCGCUCCAAGUUAGUCGGGAGCUAAGGUGAGGCCGGAAGGCGUAGCCGAUGCACAGACGGUAGAGAUUCCGUCACCACCAAAAGAGUUAAGCACAGGGACACAUUUGAAGUCUCAGAGCCGGGUGUUGGUUCCGGUAGAGAUCGAGGGAAGUUAGUACCGAAGUCUGGGAUGGAAGAUGGCGAGAAAAGCUGUGUGUAUUUCUGAGGUGCCCGUACCGCAAACCGACACAGGUAGGUAGGAAGAAGAUUCUAAGGCCAACGGGAGAAGGGUUGUUAAGGAACUCGGCAAAUUGACCCCGUAACUUCGGGAGAAGGGGUGCUCCAGAGAUGGAGCCGCAGAGAAUCGGCCCAAGCAACUGUUUACCAAAAACACAGGUUUGUGCUAAAUCGAAAGAUGACGUAUACGAGCUGACGCCUGCCCGGUGCUGGAAGGUUAAGAGGAGAUGUGCAAGCAUUGAAUCGAAGCCCCAGUGAACGGCGGCCGUAACUAUAACGGUCCUAAGGUAGCGAAAUUCCUUGUCAGGUAAGUUCUGACCCGCAUGA